GGCUUGGCGGAGGGGGAAGCGUGCAAGUGACUCAUGCCUCGGAGGAGGCCCCCGGCUCCUGCGUCUGCCGCGGCUGGCCGGCGGAGGUGGGCGUAGGAGUGCAGGAUGCAGCGUGAAAGGCCAGUGUCGUGCCAGGAGGGGCUGUGAAUCAGGGAAGGCGGCGUGUGUGUGAUUCAAGCGCGCGGCGGCCGGCAUGGCAGGGAGGAAGAAGAGGGCCGUGGUCAGACAGCCGCACGGAUUGGUCGUUGCACGCACCAGGAGGGCACCUGGGGAGAGACGGGUUGUGAGACGUUAAGAUCGUGCGGAGCCAGGGAGGCGGCGGCGAAGGUCGUGUUAGAGGGACGGGCAGGGUGCCAAUCCCUCUCCACGUCCAAGCAGGUUCCCUAGCUGGGGUGCAGAUGCUAGGGGAGUGAGAGUCAGAAAACGUUGAAGAUCCAGUCUGCGGCUUGCACGAACUAAGUCUGUGCACUGCCCUCAGCUUGGACUGUGAAGAGUGACCCUGUUCCCUUUCCUUAUGGGAAAUGUUUCAUCUUAUCUACUAUCCUGGGGCUUGUAAACAAUGGAAAGACCCAGCGGUGCAACCCCCUCCGGUUUUCAGACUGGCAAGAGGGGACACAGAUUGGAUCCUCAGUCCUGACCUUUACCUCGUUGAACCCACCCUGAGCAUUUCUCUUCGGUGCUUGGAUACUUUGGAGCAUCAUCAUAACCUCCUCCUCCUUCUGGUCUGCAAAUGGCAAACUUAUUUUCAGAAGAAACGUACACAAAGUUUUCCGUAUUAAAAGGGUUCCUACAUAAGCAAGAUGAAAUACACUUGAGCACUAGCACAUUCACUCGAUAUUGUGCUGCAUGAGAGGUUAGUAACUUCACCUCUUCCCACCCCUUAAAUCUUUAAGUCUCAGUUUCAAAGGCACUUACAAUUAUAACAACAAGCAAAUGGUUUCUUUCCCCAGCUGAGGGAAUGAUGACACAUUGCUGGUCACUGCUCAAGAACUGCAGUGCUUGGUGUAUAACACAGGGUAAGAUUUCUUUAAGACUAGGAUUGUCAAAGGAGCCUAAGGCCCUGUCUAUACACUAGCUGUACCGCUUGAACUAUUCCGGUAUAGUCUAGCACUACAAGCCCCCUAGUGGGAUGCAUUUAUACCAGUACAAAAGUGUUUUGUUUUGUUUUUCUGGUAAAUCUUAUUCCUGUAUGGGAAGGAGAAUAAACUAGUCCAGAAUAAGACACCUUUAUAUUGGUAUAAUUAUGCCAACACUAGGAGUUAUAACAGUGUAAGUAUUUCAGUAAAUAGUUACUACUCCCCACCCCCUAACCCCCCUCCCCAACACUGUUUUACUUGUGUAACUAUGUCAACAGAGCAGGCCUAAGGGACUUGUGUGCCCAACUCCCUUGGAAAGCCCCAUAGGCUUAUUUGAAAAUCCCAGCUUAAAUUCCUUGUUCCACUGGGUAAUCCAUCCAGUACGCUUCAGAAUUUGUGACAUAUUGGACCCUCUGCGGUAUGCCAGUUGUUAGGCAUUUCUUUAUGUGGGGUGACUACAGCAUGUACAAAUCUUACGUGGGUAUUCGUCUGGCAGGCUCCUCUAGAGUUUUAUUUCUCACCUCCCAAAUGCUUUAUGGUGACUUUGAAAGUAUCCUUGUCAAAGCGUCCCACAACUAUGUUAUACAACUGGUAAAAACAACCCUUGUUUGGAAUUAAUUCCUCCCUGGUUGAAACGGAUACUCAGUUGUGUAAGUAGAGAGCUGCAGAAGUAAGGUUUUGACUAAGCCUCUGCAUGAACAUUAACUUCUAGUUCUGCAAAGAGGGGUUCCUUAAGAAUCCAUAGAGGAGCUUGCCAAGUUGCCUCCUGCCUCCCUGUUUUGAAGAGAGCUGGAAGUUUCUGGUCCAGCAGAGCUGAUUUUCAACAGUCCCUGUACUUUGAUUCCUGAGAGGUGCCCUUCCCAACAUCAUUGUUUCAUGAACUCAGCCACCUCUCCUGAUCUCAAUCUUUUAUGGAGAUGAUUUGCUGGAUAAAUGUUCCUUGGAAAAAGAAUGCUCUUCUCCAUGGUGAGGCCCAGCAACACAGUGGGUGUACAAACCCAGGGAGACCAAAUGAACAUUUUCAGAAAGAUCUGGGCGUUUCUGCACCAUAAUACACAGCUUGUGUCUUCAUGUGUAUUAUGGUAGCAUACAGAGGUAUCAAUCAGAUCAGGCGCCAUUGUACAGGGUACUAAUACAAAUAGUUCCCUGUUUUAUGCUUCAUUGCCAACAUUUUCCGCUGCUUUAGCUGGGAAAUGUGCUUUAGGCAGCCCUAGAUGAUACGUACCAUACAGAGUAGCACGUUGAAGGAAUUAUGGACCAUCUGAUAGAUAAAACUUCUUCAUUGCCCUCUAUAAAGAGAGGUUCUUGAGAGUGGAGUGGAAAGGAAAUGGUGCGUGACUGAUUGUGGAGUAGGAUCAACACGGAUAACCCAUUACUGGAAGCAGAAUGGCUGGGCACCUUUGUACUAUGGCAAGACAGCCUGGGAGACAAAGGGACACCCUCCAUGUGAUAACAUACCUGCAGAGCCUGCUGAGCAAAUGUGCACAAUGUUGCUGUUGGGCACAAAAGUGCCAUUAAAUCGCUCCUUGGCUUUGGAGUAGCAUGCAAAGUAGACCGCCCUGUGCCAGGAAGAAGAGAAGAAAUCGCUACAGAGGAUAAUCUACAGACAUGCAAUUCAAACCAGUCACUGCUUUCCUCCCAUAGUUCUGACCAACAAGGUAGAUCUCAGAAGGGGCUCAACAUUAUUGUUUCCAUCUGCAAAGGCUCAGCCUGCCAACCUGCACGGGGAUGUCUGCCUUUACAGCUAGAGGGUUAGAACUAGGGUGUUGUGCAUUUCAUAGCUUCUGUGGGCCAAGCUCAGUGUGCACAUCAGGAACUCCGUGCAUUCCUCCAUUCCAUCCCACAUGUUCCCGUGUGCCACCCCCUCUAUUUCAGGGACUCCCUGCAACUUCCCCACUGCUCCCUUACGUACAGGGCUCUAACUCCCAUGUCCUUCAUUCACCUCCUCAAUGCCAGUGGCUCUGCCUCCCCCCAUUCCUCCCUCUCAAUCUCCCCCCUGCCACCAGGGGCUCUGAGGGUCCCCCCACUCCUCCGUUGGCAGAAGCUAUGCCCCCCAUUCCUCCCACUCUCCCCCACCAGGGGUUCAGAGUGCCAUCCCCCCAUAGCAGGGGCUCUGUGUACACCCCUAUCCCCCCAAACUAGGAACCCCCAAUUUCCCCUCCACCAGGUGUUGUGUGUGCCCCAUUUUCCCCAUGCCAGAGCUUUGUGCAUGCCCACAUUCUCUCCCCCCUUUCUUUUUGGUCUGUCUUAAUGUAAGUCUCACAUUUUUUGCACCCCUUUAUUUCUAUUGUCCCAAUCUAUGCCCAGUGAGUCACCCAUUCCUGAUAUUCAUUUAAAUACAUGGUUCAGUCUACAUAUUUUUUUUUAAAAAAAGGACUGGCUUGUACUAACAGAAACCCCUCUUUUUAUCCAAUCUCAAGUUCCUUCUCUGCAGAUCAGUUAUGUGAAGACAGUGUGUGAAACUGAUAAUGAAAAGCAAAGAUCAUAAGUAGCAACCUGGAUACGCACACAGAGAAACAAAAUGUACAGAAGCCAAUAAAUAUGCCAGAGAAAGCCAGAUUUUUAGGCGCUGUAAACAGGCACUUGCUUUCAGUCUGCUCGUACACCUUUUCCCAGGGAGAAGAAGGAAACAGACAAGGAAUUGAAAAGUGCUAGGGAAGUACUAAAUAAGAUUAAUUCACAUUCAGUUUUGAUUUGCACACCUCAAAAAUAAUGGCUCGAAUUUAAUAUAUAUUUGCAUCACACUUGCAUGGCACUUUUUUCAUCCAUAGAUCUGCAACUGCUUUAUGAAAAGGAAAGAGCUUCAGUAGCCCCAUUUCACAGAUGGGGUAACUAAGGUAUAUAGAAGUUAAGCAACUUGUCCCAAAUCACUGAGUACAUCUGUGACAGAGCUGGAAUUGGAAUUCAGGUCUCCUGUCUUCUAGGACUAUGUGCUCUUACCACUGGCCAGCAGAUAGUUCAUAAAUGAACUGUUCGGGUGGUUUUUAGACUAGUUUAAUAAAAACAGAGCAUUUAUAAUAUGCUUAGUACAAUCUUUGUGCCACAGCCUUAAAAUGUACUUUUUUAUUAUUAUGGAACUGAACCCUUUAAGAUCUUUACCUUGAUGGUGCCACUCCAACCAAGUUUGGACCCAAUCCUCGGAAGAGCGACCUUGGUCCUUCUUUUUCCAAAAUUGACCUAAAAAAAUAAAAAUGCAAGAUCACCAACUACCUCUCUUGGUAGACAAUAACCAUCAGUCACAGAUCAGGAAAACUGCGGUAAAAGAUAACACAGUAUUAAACAACAAACCUAUUAGCGAUCAGGCUGUGUUCUUUGGUAGAAAGCUGGCUGAUUUAGCUAUUGACUUGAAAAAGCAAGCUAACGCAAUGGAACUUAAGGGUAUUACAGACAAAUCUGCAUUUGUGUCAUAUGAGAGCAGCUUAAUAGCUCAAUUGCUUGAAAACUAUUGGGAGCUGGGUUAUUAAAAAAGUUAAUGGAGAUCACAAGAGAAGUCAGUUCUGAAAGACAAAAAAAGCAUUCAUUCUAUCACAGCUAUUCCUUCAGGGGGAAGCUUUUGAGGGGAAGUGGAGAUUUCAUUAAAAAGCAAAGGUGUGUGGGGUUGAGAGGCCUUGCUAAAUGGUGCACCCCUUCAAAUGGGUCACCAGUGGCGGCUAACGAGCAUAGGAGGCGGUGUUCCCUACCCACUCUGCGGUGGGCGCGAGACUGAGCUUUUCUAGUCCUGAGUCACUGACGCAGGGGCUGCCCAGACCCUAUGAGAAUCAGAGAACCAUGCAGCUUUCCCCACAUGGGAGGAAUGGGGAGAUAAAGACUAGAGUGGAACUGCCCCACACACUCUUUUUGGAGGACUGAGAGAGUAUUUUUUGGGGAAAAGGGGGACAGGAGAACACAUGGUCAGAGCAUGGGGGGAGGGGGAGGACUAGUUUCCAGAAGUAGGAACCUACACAUUCCUCCUUCCAAGGGGAAGCAUACACUCCCUGUUAUGCAGCUUGGAGUCUAGUCUGACCAGGCAUUACACAUUCUGGUUUAGGCCUCCUAAGCAGAAGCACAGAACACUGCAGUUGCAGUACUGUCAAUUCCGAGCAUUGAAAAAAAAUCAUGCAUUUGGUAUAGCAGAGCCUAAGUUGGCCUUAAAACUCAUGAGAUUUAAAAAAAAAAAAAAUAAAUAAUAAUGUUGGGAUUCAUUCUCUUUGCCUUCUGGGUUUUGAGCUUUUAGGUUACACCUGGAUCACGUUUUCAAGCUUUUCUUUGCAAUUAUGAUGGCUAGAAAUGUACUCUUCUAAAAUGAAAGCUGAAAUUGUCACAAUCACUAGACUCUAAGAGCUGGGGCUUUAAGACAGCCACCAAAUAUAGUGCGAGUUGGCAACACCGCUGAAGAUCAGUCCAAAUUCCUGACCUUGAGUGUCAUUUUUUCCUUCCCAUGGUUUAAACCCAAAUGGGUGAGAUGAACUGGCACCAAUAUAAAAAAGGGUAAAUGGUUUGGAUGCCCCCCUGGGGACCCUGCACAUUUUGUACAAGUUUGGCUCAAAAGCAUCCCUAGUGGAGGGUUCGAUUCCAAGCAAGAAGCCUUGGCACAGAGGGACAUUUACAAGAAAGAAAAUAACGGUUGAGCCCUAGUAAGUAUCCAUGGAUCAUAUUUCAUCCAUCAGCAAAAGCCACUUUUAUUGCCAUGGAGCUGCUUUGUAUUUAAGUACGGUGGCCUGCAAGGCAGUAGCAGCCCUCCUAUUUAAUAAAAGAAAGUGCGUGUGAAAAACAUGCGAGGAAAUUCAAACAGCUCCUGCUUCCAAAGGUCCUUCACACGUGCCUGUUCUUUUGGUUUAAGUCUCCCAUUUUGCAAAAUUUACUUUCCAGGUCAUUAAUGCUGUUGGCAACGUUUGCCGCAGAGCCCAAAAAACAAGCUCAUUAGAAAGCUUCUGAAAUGCAUCCCCAAAGCGGAGCCGAAUAUUCUGUGUAAACUCCAAGGCUAAGUGUCUCCUAGGAAACAGAUCCAGUGACUGCUUGUUCUUUGUCACUUUAAUAGUCACGACUGUGGCUUCCAGCUGAGGUGACUCACCAAAAUCUGGUUUACACUCAAGCAGCUUGCCCUUCUGGGACCAUUUUCCAUUCUGAAAGGUUCCACAGGCAAGUUUAACCAGGUCUGUCCAGGGCAUUUAUUUUCUUUCUAGCCCUAACAGUCAGUGUUUUCAUAGCCAAUACACAACUCCCUGGGAGCAAUCUGACAGGCCUCUGAAGGCUUUUUCCCCUUUCAAUGGAAUUAUUGAUACCACUCAAAGCACCUAGUUCACCCACCCCCAGCUCAGCAGUUUCAGAAGAGAAGGGCAGAGGGAAUUAAUGCAAAAGACCCAAUUUGCUCUCCAUCCUGCUUUAAGGUUUCAAGUUCACAGCAGCAGGAAGGAUCACCACCAGCAGCAUUAUUUGAAUUGUAGUGGCAUUUAGGAGCUCCAGUCAUGGACCAGGACCCCACUGAGGUUGUUGUGUGUUUGCAACAAUAAAAAGACAAUCUAUGCCCCAAACCCCUAGUAUUCUGCAGCCUGGAGCACACAGAGACAUCAGUAAGAGGAGCCCCAAAAAGUCAUCACCGCUCAUUACCUCCUCUAGAAGGCUUGCUUGAGUUGAAAGCUAUUAAUACAGCAUCUUCUCUGAAGAAUCAAUCAUGAAUAAGGCUAAGAUUUUGUCACGGUUAUUUUUAGUAAAAAAAAAGUCAUGGACAGGUCACGGGCAAUAAACAAAACUUCAGGGAAGCCAUGACCUCUGUGACUUUUGCUGCUGCGGCUCCAUGGUUUCCCCCGCCACUGUGGUAGCUGGGAGCUGUGGGGAACCCCCUCUGUCUGCGGCAGCUGCAGGGGAACCUCCCCUUUCACCCACAGAUGUUGGGAGCUGCAGGAUGACCAUAUCUGUCAAAGAGAAAAUGGGACACCCCCAGCCACUUGCCCAAGGUGGCCCCCUCCCCUCCUCACCCCUCCACUUGAGGCUGUUGCCCAUCGCUGGAACCCUGAGGAGGGCCCCCUCAGGAGGCUGUUGCCUGUUGCUGGAAACUUGCAGAGGGCCCCGUCACUGCUGUCACCUGUUGCUGGAACCCUCCUGGGGCCCCGCUGGCUGCCAGCUCCAGUCCCUCGGCCCCUGGGGCUGAAGCAGAGAAUGGUCACGGAGGACUCUGGAAGUCAGGGAUUCCAUGACCUCAGUGUAGCCUUAAUCAUGAAGAAUCAGGUUCUGAACAGUUGACUCCAAUGAUAUAACUACGAAAAAUGCUGAACAAGUCCAUGCUCCCUCUAUACCCCUUCAUCCAAUGUUGCUAUAGAGAAGGCAAUUAGUCUUGGGAGGAAAGUGCACUCCUAUCUAUAGGGAACGCUCUACAAAUGUGGUCUCUGAAAACUUUCUUUGGUGGAGGUGGCAGCAAGGAAGGCGUUUACACUUUCCUUGGAGAAUGUGCCCAUUUACACAAAGUCGUGGUUAACUGCAGCAUAAAGGGGGUCUGAUUUCAUCAAAAUGGGAAAGGGGAGCCAGUGCCAAGUGUACACUGUCUCUUUAGGAGAGUGCACUGAGGUCCUGUGUGAAAUCAAUUAUAGACUCCGAAGAAUUUAUUGUCUGUGAAAUACAAACAGUACAAUCGAUUUGCAAGAUUGCUUCACAGACAUCUGGAAAAGGAGCCAGGCAAGCUACAGACUUUGAGCAGUUGCUGAAAUGAAACAAGAUUAAAUAAAGCCAGACCACAAACGCUGACUUUAAUGAGUCUAUAAGGAUGGUAAAAGGCUCACCCAGUUUUAGCCAACUUUCUAUCUCCCCACAAAGGACAACCCUGAAAAUGAGAGAGAGUGGGUGAAUACUGUCACAAGAGCUGGCUACCUUGAAAUGGUUUUAUUGGACUCCCUUUUAAUCAGGAUUGCCUUGUGUCGCAGGAGGGAGGGGAGUUAGAUGCAUCCAAAAUGCCCUGAUUUGCUCCGGUUACCUUGGUUGUGCAUCGUGUACUGCUCUAGACUCAAUAUGACCCAAAAAAAAAAAAAUGUUAUAAAGAGGAGUGCUUGACAUUUGGGGGACAGGGUGGGAGAGAAGUAUUGCUUAUCUAUAAUACGAGAUUCAAGUUGUGACGUGACGCAAGCUACACAGUCUGUAGAGGACUUGAUUGCCACUGUAUUGUUAUCUAAUUCAUGCAACUCCACUGGGCAACGUGCCAAAUUUAUCAGUAUUACAUGAAUCAACCAACAUGUUUUGCUGGGCUUUUUUUUUUUUUUUUUUUGGGGGGGGGGGGGGGGGUGGUGCACCAAAAUGCCUGAUGUAAACAAAAGAUCAUUGCACAAAAAUAAAGUGCAAAUAUUUAUUUGCAAAGAUCCACAUAAACCUGGUGCAGAUUAGAUUUUGCCUUUGCUUUCUUCAGAAAUGCAGCAGCAGAGACCUAGGCCUCAGGUUAGGCCAUACAAAACCAUUAGCUUGGGAGCACUGGCUUGCCUUCGAUCCAGUCUUCUUUUGUUGGAUGUAUGUCAUGAAAAGAUUAGGCUGAACACGCUGCUGCUCCUACCUGUCUGCAGAGGCAUCUGACGAGCCUUGGAGAUUUUCCAACAGGGAUAUGCAGGGGGAGUUCAAACUCCCAGCUGAGGAUUUAUGGGAAUGACCAUAUAAUGUGCACUGCCUGAAACCACACAUCAGUAGCAGGCAGAAGGCUGCUCGUUCAGUCAGAAAUAGCAAAAGAGGAGGAAAGAAUAGGGCUGUCUGAGGGACUGUUCAUGCUGGGUUUUCUAGCUGGACUGCUUUUGUGAAAGACCCUGUCUCCUUCCUCUUCCCUCUCCUCCCCCAUGAGUUCCCGUGUGGCAUGUCACAAUCAGCGCCUUUCAUAACAGUGCAGAGAAGCCCUCAUUCACACGCAUUCACCAGCGCCCUACCUGUACCAGAAAGACCUCCAAAUUCAAAAGAUCACCCUGGACUGGGGGAGUGCAAGCUUUUUGGGCCAAGGGCCACAUCAGGGUUGCGAAACGGUAUGGAGGGCUGGGUAGGGAAGGCUGUGCCUUCGCAAACAGCCUGGCCCCUGCCUCCCUCCCAUUUCCCGCCCCCGAAUGCCCCCCUCAGAAACCCUGAUCCAUUCA